AAACAUGAGGAAGUCACUGCUGUGACCUGCUGUCCAGUGGUUAACACGCUGCUGAAACAGUCCUGGGAGCUUGGAGCCCCGGGCACAGCGGGGCUGUUACGGAGCAGCCCCCUGGAACCUGAGGUUGGACUCGGCUGUGACCUGCCUACCAUGAGAGCGCUGCUCAGCACACUCUGGCUUGCUCUGGCCUGCAGCUCUGUUCACACUACCCUGUCAAAGUCAGAUGCCAAAAAGGCUGCCUCCAAGACACUGCUAGAGAAGACUCAGUUUUCAGAUAAGCCCGUCCAAGAUCGGGGUCUGGUGGUGACAGACCUCAGAGCCGAGGAUGUGGUUCUUGAGCAUCGCAGCUACUGCUCGGCAAAGGCCCGGGAGAGGCACUUUCCUGGGGACGUCCUGGGCUACGUCACUCCAUGGAAUAGCCACGGCUACGAUGUCGCCAAGGUCUUCGGGGGCAAGUUUACGCAGAUCUCACCUGUGUGGCUACAGCUGAAGAGGCGUGGACGCGAGAUGUUCGAGGUCACGGGCCUCCAUGACGUGGACCAAGGGUGGAUGCGGGCGGUCCGGAAGCAGGCCAAGGGCCUCCGCAUAGUCCCUCGGCUCCUGUUUGAGGACUGGACUCAUGAGGACUUCCGGAACGUCAUGGACAGUGAAGACGAGAUCGAAGAACUCAGCAAGACCAUGGUUCAGGUCGCCAAGAGCCAGCAUUUUGACGGCUUUGUGGUAGAGGUCUGGAGCCAGCUGCUGAGCCAGAAACACGUGGGCCUCAUCCACAUGCUCACCCACGUGGCAGAGGCGCUGCACCAGGCCCGGCUGCUGGCCAUCCUGGUCAUCCCACCGGCUGUCACUCCCGGGACUGAUCAGCUGGGCAUGUUCACACACAAGGAGUUUGAGCAGCUGGCCCCCGUGCUGGACGGCUUCAGCCUGAUGACCUACGACUACCCUACAGCACAGCAGCCUGGCCCCAAUGCGCCACUGUCUUGGGUGCGAGCCUGCGUCCAGGUCCUGGACCCCAUGUCCAAGUGGCGGAGCAAGAUCCUCCUGGGGCUCAACUUCUACGGCAUGGACUAUGCGGCCUCCAGGGAUGCCCGCGAGCCUGUCAUCGGGGCCAGAUGUCUUGCAGUACAGCCCAGAGCACCAGGGCCCCUACAGCCACCCGCCGCCUCUCCUCCCUCCUUGGAGCCCAGGCUACAGGCCCCAGGUUGUGCCUCCUCCCUCGGGCUGCAGGACACCACCGUCCCACAGCAGGUACAUCCAGACUCUGAAGGACCACAGGCCCCGGAUGGUGUGGGACAGCCAGGCCGCUGAGCACUUCUUCGAGUACAAGAAGAGCCGCGGCGGGAGGCACAUCGUCUUCUACCCAACUCUGAAGUCCUUGCAGGUGCGGCUGGCGCUGGCCAGGGAGCUGGGUGUCGGGGUGUCCAUCUGGGAGCUGGGCCAGGGCCUGGACUACUUCUACGACCUGCUCUAGGCCCAGCUCUGGAGCAGACAUGUGCUUUCUGAGCGACAGAUUGACGUGCAAAAUACAGACUGCUCUGUUUUCCA